rnacentral:snoRNA from 1 species
UCAUAUGAUGAAAGCAUACGCAAAAUUCACAGACCUGUUCUGAAAAAAAUAGUGUUGAGAAACUGCUUAGCUCACUGAUU